GUUAAGGAUAUGAGGAAGCCAGAAUAAGAACUAUACUUCACAGAUAUUCGUUUCACAGACCAUGAAAUAGGCCACACCAUCAGAAACCUGGAGGAGUGGAUGUCUCCUUCCAAAAUAAAGACGGACGCUUCACAAACUACAAAUCUGUGCACUGCCGGAACGCUGGUAUGGAGUUCGCUAGCGACGUCAGAUAUCCUCCAUUUAAAAACAGCAAGCUAAAAGAUUUCCUCUACACUUUCUUGUUCUACAACUCAGGUUUAUACAACCCCCGGAAGUACAGAGAAAAGAGCAUACACAGUGUGGAAUCUCGAUAGCCUCUUAAGAGGACGUAAAAGCAACUCUGAUCUUGGAGGCUGGAAUUUCAACAAUUCCAGGUCACGAUUCUCAAACAAUGUCGAAGGUAAUGGAUAGCAGCGUCUAGAAAUGCCCACUGUACAACUGAGAAGUGCUCCUUUGUUGCCCUCCUUCUCCAGACACUACAUGUCAAUAGUCCGAACAAAAAGUUGUAAUAUAAGUAACUGCUAAGGAGGGAUUGUCGUUGAGAAAGGCAUUUAAAAGACCAAUCCAGAGCCUUCUGCCUUGUUCUUUUCACAGCAGACCAUCAAGUUUUACAACAGAUAGAAACAGAAUCCUUAGCAAACUGUGCCCAGCCCAAAACCUACCAAAUCAGACUGAUUAAAGCUGCUCAUAUCUGCUAUAUAGCAUCAAUUAAAAAUCAAUGUAGCGACGACUCCGAACUAAUCGAUGAAGAUGCGAUGCUGGUCGCUUCUUGUAUUAAAAAUAAUCUGAGACAAACAAUGUUAUUACUAUAAUAUUGUAGCAUAAUGACGCUUUGCGUAUAGCUGCUUUCCCAUUUCUAAUUAUGCAUUUCA